rnacentral:rRNA from 1 species
UGCGUAGGCGGUUUGGCAAGUCUUGUGUGAAAUCUUCGGGCUCAACCCGAAGCCUGCAUAAGAAACUGCCGGGCUUGAGUAUGGGAGAGGUGAGUGGAAUUUCCGGUGUAGCGGUGAAAUGCGUAGAUAUCGGAAGGAACACCUGUGGCGAAAGCGGCUCACUGGACCAUAACUGACGCUGAGGCACGAAAGCUAGGGGAGCAAACAGGAUUAGAUACCCUGGUAGUCCUAGCCCUAAACGAUGAUUGCUUGAUGUGGCAGGUACCCAAUCCUGCCGUGUCGAAGCUAACGCGAUAAGCAAUCCGCCUGGGGAGUACGGUCGCAAGGCUGAA